UGCAUUCUCAUUUUGAAAGAGAAGUGUGACUUGUUAGUUUUUUUGUUUUAUUUAUUGUUUUUUGUUUACUUAGUAUUUCCGCAUUUCACUCUGAUAGUGUAACAUCGGGACAUCUUUUUAGUUCUUUUAUAUUUUCUUAAGAAUUGUUGAAUUUAUUUCCUUAUGUUAGAACUAAGUUAUUUUUAUAAAAGCAUGUGAUAUUUAUGUUAAGUUGACGAUAUCUUAGAUUUCGC
rnacentral:lncRNA from 1 species